UACAGAGGCCUCGAGCGUUAGGCGGAAUCACUGGGCUUAAAGCGUGUGUAGGCGGAUCGUUAAGUACCUUGUGAAAUCCCACGGCUUAACCGUGGAACUGCUUGGUAUACUGGCGAUCUUGUGCCACCUAGGGGCGAGCGGAACAGAUGGUGGAGCGGUGAAAUGCGUAGAGAUCAGGAAGAACACCGGUGGCGAAGGCGCUCUGCUAGGCCGCAACUGACACUGAGGGACGAAAGCCAGGGGAGCAAACGGG
rnacentral:rRNA from 1 species